rnacentral:sRNA from 1 species
CCGAAUUUCGAAUAUGAUUGUAACACU